rnacentral:tRNA from 1 species
GAAAAUUUAGUUAAAAAAUAACAUUAGUUUGUCAGCCUAAAAUUAUUAAUAAUUUAAUAGUUUUCU